AAGAAGAAGAAAAAGAAAAAGAAAUAUCCCAUCAUGAUAAGGAAUUGAAAGUAACAAUCAAAUCCAAACCGUGUGAGAGUGUUAGUAGUAGUAGUACUAGUUCGCCCUUCAAACUCAAUGCUCAGGCACCUGAAUUCGUCCCAAGAUCUCAUUCUCCCACCACCGCCGCUCAGACCCAGAUGCCAAUUUCUGGUUAUUUCUAUCCUUGCUUUCAUUAUCUUGGAGCUACUGCUGGAUCUGACUGGUUUUUCCUUGGGGAACAAGACCCUCAUGCCUAUUUGAUCUCUAAUCCAAAUCCUGCUUUGCCCAAUUCCUCCAAUAAGACUACUCUUCUUACCGAUGAUCUUCGCCAGAAGAUCCUCAAACAGGUGGAGUACCAGUUCAGUGACAUGAGUCUUCUUGCAAAUGAGUCCAUGUCAAAACACAUAAGCAAAGAUCCUGAAGGUUAUGUACUGAUAUCUGUCAUUGCUUCCACGAAGAAAAUGAAGUCCCUAGUCAAUAAUAACCAUUUGCUUGCCCAGGCACUCCAGUCCUCUUCAAAACUUGUUGUCAGUGAAGAUGGCAAGAAAGUUAAACGUAAAGUCCCUUUUACUGAGAAAGACAGAGAAGAAUUGCUGUCUCGUACUGUUGUGGUGGAGAAUUUGCCUGAAGAUCACUCUCAUCAAAACCUUGAGAAAAUAUUUAGUGUGGUUGGAAGGUUAAAUUUAUAACUUAAUAUUUCUUUACUUGUUUUAGUAUAUAUCUUUGUUUCAUAUUAAUAAUUGCCAUACAUAAGCAGUGUAAGAACCAUCAGAAUAUGUCAUCCUCAAGAAUCCAAUUCUUCUCGUAAUAAAAGUGAUUUCUUCAUGAGCAACAAGCUGCAUGCACUUGUGGAGUUUGAGAAUCCAGAUACAGCAGAAAAAGCGGUUGAGAAGUUGAAUGACGAAAGGGAUUGGAGGAAAGGCCUUCGAGUUAGGGUGCUGCCCAGAUGCUCCCCAAAAUCUGUUCUCAAGAGCAGAAAGUCUGACUUCGAUGGCCUUUUGGAUGAAGAAGAUUUUCCAGUUCCUGAAUCAAAUGAAGAUUCUUCUCAAAUGCACAAUGCAGAACCUGCCACAGAGAGUAAUGUGGAAGAAAAUUCAGGGUCAUUGAAGAAGGGAUGGGCAAAAGGUCGUGGCAAGGGCAGAGGACGUGGUCAAAGCCAUGGUGGGCGAGGCCUGCUUGCCCCUUCCCCACAGUCUGUUAGCUCUCCCCAGUGUGAAGCGUCUGGUAAACAUACCUUCAGGGGUCCAAGAAUGCCAGAUGGGACCAGGGGUUUCACCAUGGGUCGUGGGAAGCCACUAGGAAGUCCAGCUGUGGGCAGUCCAAUGGUGGAAUAAAUGGGUAUUUUUGUUUUUUAAUCAAUUAGUUACUAAGUGGCUUAGUUACUAUUAAGCUGCUCUACAUUUUUUUAUAUAGUUAGAGAAGCAAGAAUUGGUUACGGAGCCAAUAAGGUUUGGCCUGUUAUAUGACUUUAGGCACUGUGGAUGUUUCUUAAUAAUCUGAGGUGUAUAGUAUGGUUUGUCUCUGUGACAACCGCUGUAGGAAUUGCAAUAUUCUCCUUGCAUGACAUUUUUGGAUGGUUUGUUGUUCUGGGUUGGAUUCUCUGUGUUAUUGAUUGUAUAAACACUUUGAAUAAUGAAUUUGAGGGGUACAUCCAUCUCUCU
rnacentral:misc_RNA from 1 species